AUGCGCCCCUUCCCCGCCAUCAACGGCGAGGUCAACGGCCGAGGCUUGGGUUGGAGUUCAUCAGGCGUGACGCUGCAUUUCCUUUUUUCUUCUUUUUUUUAUAAAUCAUUUUUCCUGCAGAUGGGAAUGGGUCGUGGUCUCCUCGCCGAGUUGAUGGCCAUCGACGGCAGACUCCAGCGACCUCAUACGUGCCACCACGCUUCGGCCACUUCCAGCGGCGCCGCCGGCCAUGCCCCUACUCCUCCUCUACCCCCUGAACCUCUGCCUUCCCCUUCACCAGCGCCUGCUCUGGCCGCCCACCGCUCCCCUGCAACCGAAGCAGUUCUUCCGAGCGACCCCCGCAGCUCUCUCCUCCCCCAUGUGCAGAUCGCCGACAACACGCCCCUUCCUUGCCACAUUUUAUUUGGGCAACCUCAGUAG
rnacentral:rRNA from 1 species